rnacentral:rRNA from 1 species
GAAGCAACGCGAAGAACCUUACCUAAGCUUGACAUCCUUUUGACCGAUGCCUAAUCGUAUCUUUCCCUUCGGGGACAGAAGUGACAGGUGGUGCAUGGUUGUCGUCAGCUCGUGUCGUGAGAUGUUGGGUUAAGUCCCGCAACGAGCGCAACCCUUGCCUUUAGUUGCCAGCAUUAAGUUGGGCACUCUAGAGGGACUGCCAGGGAUAACCUGGAGGAAGGUGGGGAUGACGUCAAAUCAUCAUGCCCCUUAUGCUUAGGGCUACACACGUGCUACAAUGGGUGGUACAGAGGGCAGCCAAGUCGUGAGGCGGAGCUAAUCCCUUAAAGCCAUUCUCAGUUCGGAUUGUAGGCUGAAACUCGCCUACAUGAAGCUGGAGUUACUAGUAAUCGCAGAUCAGAAUGCUGCGGUGAAUGCGUUCCCGGGGUCUUGUAC